rnacentral:lncRNA from 1 species
AUGCUCCUGGCGGGCGUCGAGGGAGGACCGCGCCGGGCUCGCCACCCCGCAGCCCGGCUGCUCACCGGGUCCCCGACCGUUCUCCAGCGCGCGCCCGCCGCCAGCGGCACUAGCUCCGGCCAGGCGGAGAAAACGCGCCCCCCUGGUCUGCUUGCUGCCCCCGCCCGGGGAUGGCACUGGGGUGAGAAGCGGAGGGGGAAAUUUCCGAGGUGGAACCCGUUCCUAUUCCGUGGCGCGGGCUACCGGGAACGCGCCGGGUCCCCUCUCCCCUUCAUCGCGCGCCCGCCAGGGUCGCCAAAUCGCCCAACAGCUGAGGAGGGGAAGAAAAAAACCCGCCGAGCCCAUGUCAAACGCGUGCGUGCGCCCGCCGGCCGGGAGGCUCCCUUCGCGGUCCGAAGAGUGCGCGGCGCGGGCAGGGCGAGGGCGCGUGAACCCGCACCCCUGGGCCGGCCCCCGCGGCGGUGCGGAGUGCGGGGUUCAUCCAUUACCUUUCGUGGCCGCCAGUCCCGGAGAGGUCCCAUCAGCCGCUCAACAACCUGCAGCCGGGCGCAGUUUCCACAAUCCAGCCAUGAGCCGGGGCCAGAGCCGGGGCGGCCCCGGCGGAGACACCCCCCGCACCGCACGCGGCCCGGAGCGCACAGAGACCGCAGCGGGCGGAGACGCCGGGCAAGCAGCGGCACGGGAAAAGUCCGUCUUCGCCCCUGUCUUCGGCUACACAGCCAUGGAGACGCCGAGCGCGGACGGGGGUGGGGGGAAAGCGAGCGCCCGCCGCCGGCUUCCUCUGCGUUCCUCGCCUCACACGCCCCAAGGGGGCGAACGCGCCGCCGAGCGCGAGGAGGGCUGCGACGUCGCUGCGAGUCCACAGUUGCCCAACUUCGGAGUCGGGGCUCCGGGGUCCGGCGGCCGCCGCCGCCGCCGAGGGACCCCGCGGCAGCUACCAGCGCGCGGUGGUCAUCGCCGGGGCGCCCGGGCCGCCUCUCGCCGCCGCCGCCGCUGCCGCUCACGAACAGACGCUGCCGGGGAGACCGAAAAUCUCCCACCAUCCCCCCAGCCGAUCUUUAUAUCCAGUUCUCCCACCCCACCCCCUCCGCCUUCUUUCUCUUCUUCUUCCUCGUCCUCCCCUUUCCGCCUCGGAGCGGGAGCGAUGGAAUAGGUAGGGGAAGCCGCGAGGGCCAGGGGUGGCUUCUCCGCCGAGCCCCCCUCCUCCUCCUCUUCCUCCUCCUCCUCCUCCUCCCGAGGUUCUCUCCCGGGCGAGGGUCCCCUCUCGCGCCCGCAGCCUGCGCCGAGAGGCCGCAAACUCCUUCCCUGGUGCAAGGAGAAGCCCCGUCGUAA